CAGUAAAGAGCCUGAACGGCUUGAUUCUUAUGGAAUCAAUUGGCACUUUGCUGCGAUGUUGUGUUUGCAAACUCGUAUUUCGAGUUAGGUAGGAUUUCUACCACCGUUUCGUACCAAGAUGGAACGAAACAUACUUCCUGUAUUUAUUUUGACCUGUCUGUCAAAUUUUUUAGCACCGCCUAGAUGGCGGUGUUUUUUUAU
rnacentral:other from 1 species